ensembl:snoRNA
AGUACUGGCAUGUGGUUUUUGUUGAACUUGUAGACAAAGACUUACAAACAGGUGCAAAAAUAAGCAUUCUUUUGCAACCCAGAACUCACUGUUAAAUAUGAGUUUUGAUACACUGCCAAAGGAAUAUG